rnacentral:lncRNA from 1 species
AACAAUUAGGAAAAUUUUUCAAAGUUCGAACUUGAUGAAUACACGUUCUCCUAUAUACACAUCGGAAUCAAAGUGAGGAUUUUGUCGUUUCCCGAGGUAAGGAAAUAUUUGGAUAAAUUUGGUACCUUCCCGAGGUGGAUUUGGAAAGAUUUGGUACCUUCCCGAGAUGUAAUCAUUGGAUAGAUUUGGUACUUUUCAAGAUUGAUUUGGGAAGAUUUAUUACCUUCCCCAAUAUUGAUUUCCCGAGGCGUACCUUCCCGAGGCGUAAAGAUUUGGUAUGAAAGGAAUGAGAGAGAAGAGAUGAAAGAAAAAGAGAAGAAAGGAGGAGCGGACACGUAUGCAGGAGGAACUGUCAAUUAAUGGAUUUGUAAAGAUAUCUAUAGCUGACGUGGCGCAACCACAUUUUUUUGCUUUUUUUAUUUU